rnacentral:tRNA from 1 species
CAGAGCAUAGCUAAACUAGUUAAAGCCCCUCUUUUACACUGAAAAGAUGUCCGUGCAAAUCGGACUGCCCUGA